rnacentral:rRNA from 1 species
UAAGGCCGAUGGCGACCGGCGCACGGGUGAGUAACACGUAUCCAACCUGCCGUCUACUCUUGGACAGCCUUCUGAAAGGAAGAUUAAUACAAGAUGGCAUCAUGAGUCCGCAUGUUCACAUGAUUAAAGGUAUUCCGGUAGACGAUGGGGAUGCGUUCCAUUAGAUAGUAGGCGGGGUAACGGCCCACCUAGUCUUCGAUGGAUAGGGGUUCUGAGAGGAAGGUCCCCCACAUUGGAACUGAGACACGGUCCAAACUCCUACGGGAGGCGGCAGUGAGGAAUAUUGGUCAAUGGGCGAGAGCCUGAACCAGCCAAGUAGCGUGAAGGAUGACUGCCCUAUGGGUUGUAAUCUUCUUUUAUAAAGGAAUAAAGUCGGGUAUGCAUACCCGUUUGCAUGUACUUUAUGAAUAAGGAUCGGCUAACUCCGUGCCAGCAGCCGCGGUAAUACGGAGGAUCCGAGCGUUAUCCGGAUUUAUUGGGUUUAAAGGGAGCGUAGAUGGAUGUUUAAGUCAGUUGUGAAAGUUUGCGGCUCAACCGUAAAAUUGCAGUUGAUACUGGAUAUCUUGAGUGCAGUUGAGGCAGGCGGAAUUCGUGGUGUAGCGGUGAAAUGCUUAGAUAUCACGAAGAACUCCGAUUGC